UACGAAGGGGGCUAGCGUUGUUCGGAAUUACUGGGCGUAAAGCGCACGUAGGCGGAUCGAUCAGUCAGGGGUGAAAUCCCAGGGCUCAACCCUGGAACUGCCUUUGAUACUGUCGGUCUAGAGUAUGGAAGAGGUGAGUGGAAUUCCGAGUGUAGAGGUGAAAUUCGUAGAUAUUCGGAGGAACACCAGUGGCGAAGGCGGCUCACUGGUCCAUUACUGACGCUGAGGUGCGAAAGCGUGGGGAGCAAACAGG
rnacentral:rRNA from 1 species